rnacentral:rRNA from 1 species
AUUGAACGCUGGCGGCAGGCCUAACACAUGCAAGUCGAGCGGAUGAAGGGAGCUUGCUCCUGGAUUCAGCGGCGGACGGGUGAGUAAUGCCUAGGAAUCUGCCUGGUAGUGGGGGAUAACGUCCGGAAACGGGCGCUAAUACCGCAUACGUCCUGAGGGAGAAAGUGGGGGAUCUUCGGACCUCACGCUAUCAGAUGAGCCUAGGUCGGAUUAGCUAGUUGGUGGGGUAAAGGCCUACCAAGGCGACGAUCCGUAACUGGUCUGAGAGGAUGAUCAGUCAUACUGGAACUGAGACACGGUCCAGACUCCUACGGGAGGCAGCAGUGGGGAAUAUUGGACAAUGGGCCAAAGCCUGAUCCAGCCAUGCCGCGUGUGUGAAGAAGGUCUUCGGAUUGUAAAGCACUUUAAGUUGGGAGGAAGGGCAGUAAGUUAAUACCUUGCUGUUUUGACGUUACCAACAGAAUAAGCACCGGCUAACUUCGUG